GAACGCUAGCGGCAGGCUUAAUACAUGCAAGUCGUGGGGCAGCAUGAGUAGCAAUACUUGAUGGCGACCGGCAAACGGGUGAGGAACACGUACACAACCUUCCUUCAGCGGGGAAUAGCCCAGAGAAAUUUGGAUUAAUACCCAUAAUAUAUUUGAUAAGGCAUCUUAUUAAUAUUUAAAAGCUUCGGCACUUGAUGAUGGGUGUGCGGCUGAUUAGAUAGUUGGCGGGGUAACGGCCCACCAAGUCUACGAUCAGUAGCUGAUGUGAGAGCAUGAUCAGCCACACGGGCACUGAGACACGGGCCCGACUCCUACGGGAGGCAGCAGUAAGGAAUAUUGGACAAUGGACGAAAGUCUGAUCCAGCCAUGCCGCGUGAAGGAUUAAGGUCCUCUGGAUUGUAAACUUCUUUUAUAUGGGACGAAAAAGGGCAUUCUUGUUCACUUGACGGUACCAUAUGAAUAAGCACCGGCUAACUCCGUG
rnacentral:rRNA from 1 species